GGAAUAUUGGGCAAUGGGGGAAACCCUGACCCAGCGACGCCGCGUGAGGGAAGAAGGUUUUCGGAUUGUAAACCUCUGUCCUUGGUGACGAUAAUGACGGUAGCCAAGGAGGAAGCCACGGCUAACUACGUGCCAGCAGCCGCGGUAAUACGUAGGUGGCGAGCGUUGUCCGGAAUUAUUGGGCGUAAAGAGCAUGUAGGCGGUUUUUUAAGUCCGGAGUGAAAAUGCGGGGCUCAACCCCGUAUGGCUCUGGAUACUGGAAGACUUGAGUGCAGGAGAGGAAAGGGGAAUUCCCAGUGUAGCGGUGAAAUGCGUAGAUAUUGGGAGGAACACCAGUGGCGAAGGCGCCUUUCUGGACUGUGUCUGACGCUGAGAUGCGAAAGCCAGGGUAGCGAACGGG
rnacentral:rRNA from 1 species